GACGAACGCUGGCGGCGUGCUUAACACAUGCAAGUCGAACGUGAUUUUUGUGGAAAUUCUUUCGGGAAUGGACAUGAAAUGAAAGUGGCGAACGGGUGAGUAACACGUUAGCAACCUACCUUACACAGGGGGAUAGCCGUUGGAAACGACGAUUAAUACCGCAUGAGACCACAGAAUCGCAUGAUAUAGGGGUCAAAGAUUUAUCGGUGUAAGAAGGGCUCGCGUCUGAUUAGCUAGUUGGAAGGGUAAAGGCCUACCAAGGCGACGAUCAGUAGCCGGUAUGAGAGGAUGAACGGCCACAUUGGAACUGAGACACGGACCAAACUCCCACGGGAGGCAGCAGGGGGAAUAUUGCACAAUGGGGGGAACCCUGAUGCAGCGACGCCGCGUGAGCGAAGAAGGUUUUCGAAUCGUAAAGCUCUGUCAUAUGAGAAGAUAAUGACGGUAUCAUAGGAGGAAGCCCCGGCUAAAUACGUG
rnacentral:rRNA from 1 species